UUUUUCAAGCUACAUAAUCUAAAAGCAAACCAAUCCCAGUCAAAGUGACUUGUUUUAAAGAAUCCCCACAUCCCCCAGUUCCCCCAGCAGCGUCUGGUAAACUGAUUGUUCUCUCUUCUUAUGCUAAUAACACUAAUGUCUCCACAUUCCUGAGCAUUAUCACCUGGCCCUUCACAGCAACAGUACCAACAGUAUCCGGGCUAACUGAGUCUCAUCCAAUCACGGUCCAGAUAUCUGGGUGGGGUUAUAUAUAUACUGUUUUCCUGACAGAAUCUACAUUGAAUUUUUUAGUUUUUUGUGAAAUAAAAUUCCAAAACCUUGAAGGACAAACUGCUUUUUGAGAUUCCUACAUUGCCUACAAGGGACCACAUACAACAAAGCCUACUAAGGCCAUUUCUCAUCUCUUUUUUCCAUUCAAGACUGAAAAGGAAAAUGAGACCCAGAAGAGUCUGUCCUGAAAAGGAAGCUUUGAAAUUCAUCGCAUCUGGGAAAGAUAAAGACAUAUUUCAGUCAAGAGUCAAGAGAAAGAUUGUUGAUGAACAGAAAAGAGCACAUUUGUGCAUUUGUGACCACAAACAUCACUAAAGGAGAAGAAAUGAUGUUCGACUGCGGAGAUCCUGACUGCUCAUGGAGACAAGUAGCAGGAUGCUUGGUCCAUUACAGACGGAUGUGCAACACCCUGAUCUGACCACUACACCCUCCACCCAGGAUCCACUUGGUCUGUCUCUACAUGUCAGAACGAGUAACUUCAGUCUUCAAUGGGAUGAAAGACUAUCUUAAGCAGAGUGAUGAGCAAAUCAGUGGAAGAGCAUCCUACUAUUGAGGAAUGCCUUCAGGAAGUCAAAACUAUGUGCAUUAAAAUGAUUAGAUAUAAAUACUGGUGUGAAUUUACAGGUUUUGAUCACUGGUCUUAUCAAAUAUGAACCACAAACAGCUACAGCAAUGUCCAUGUGGUUUCAGGAAAUAGUGACACAAAUGAUGAUCUUUCUGAAAUAAGGGCUGCCAAUUCAGAAAAGACUUCAGCCUUUAGUCUUGGACACAUCAGUAAAUCACUAGUGCCAUUAAAUCAAAACAGUAUGUUACAUUCACCAUAAACAAUACUGAAGAGCUGAAGAUCAUUGUCUUUUCAUGUUUUCAACUUUGUAAAGUAUGUAUUACUGACAUUAAUUUUUUUUCAUUCAUUCAUAUAUUUAUUUACUAUAUAUAUUUUUUUAUCUUUUAAUUUUGUUAAAUAGCAAAACCCAGAAAGCCCUGGUCAGAAACAGAGGAAAGUCAUAGAACACUGUUUCAAGAUCUACUUGGAGGAAAUGAAGGCUCCUGAAAAAGUGGACUGUGAAAGAUACAUAAAUGCAAACAGGAUUCUAAAGGGUAAUGGAAGAGACCAGAAAACAGUUAAAUACUUUGUGCUCAACAGAAUAAUUUCAGUUAAGAGAAGUUUGGGUGAACAGUACUGAGCCCAUAAACCCUGAGAGCUAUUUUUAGAGAGAUUAUGAGAAUAAAGUUUGACUUGAUUUCAUUCAAAA